rnacentral:rRNA from 1 species
CCUGGUCUUGACAUCCACAGAACUUUCCAGAGAUGGACUGGUGCCUUCGGGAACUGUGAGACAGGUGCUGCAUGGCUGUCGUCAGCUCGUGUUGUGAAAUGUUGGGUUAAGUCCCGCAACGAGCGCAACCCUUAUCCUUUGUUGCCAGCGAUUAGGUCGGGAACUCAAAGGAGACUGCCAGUGAUAAACUGGAGGAAGGUGGGGAUGACGUCAAGUCAUCAUGGCCCUUACGACCAGGGCUACACACGUGCUACAAUGGCGCAUACAAAGAGAAGCGACCUCGCGAGAGCAAGCGGACCUCAUAAAGUGCGUCGUAGUCCGGAUUGGAGUCUGCAACUCGACUCCAUGAAGUCGGAAUCGCUAGUAAUCGUGGAUCAGAAUGCCACGGUGAAUACGUUCCCGGGCCUUGUACACACCGCCCGUCACACCAUGGGAGUGGGUUGCAAAAGAAGUAGGUAGCUUAACCUUCGGGAGGGCGCUUACCACUUUGUGAUUCAUGACUGGGGUGAAGUCGUAACAAGGUAACCGUAGGGGAACCUGCGGUUGGAUCACCUCCUUACCUUAAAGAA